AUGGAUAGGCAAGGCAUUUCAUCUCCGGUAUUCGACAACAACGACGGCGCGAACAACUACAUCACCAAAAUGUCCAUCUUCGGACUACAACACGAAAUGCAAGGUGCACAAUCUACCUUGCGAGAGCGCCUCGACAACCUCGCCAUCGACAUACGACACUCUGAAGCAAGGAAAAGGGACUACAUCGGCACCAAGUUGGGCGAGCUAAAGGAUCAACUACGCGACAUGGUGGCCGACUACAUGUCUUCUUCCCCUUCAUCAUCCUCAAGGCGGCGGCGAGCAAGUCGAUCAUCUUCGGAGCGCAAACAAGAUGCAAGCGCAAGUCGUCCACAUCCACAUAUACAUGGCGACCACCAUCACAUUCGUGAUCAAAAUCGUCAUGAAGGGCAAGUCACCUCCAAGCAUCAUGUACACGACGACGACGAACGACAUCUGCUACGAGCUCAAGUGCGACAACGACAACAUCAACAUGAAGAUGCUCCACAAGCGCAAAUGCAUAAGUCCGAACAAGCCCUACUUCACGCCAAGGCCAAGCUUCAAGAGCAAAAGAGAAGACCGCGAGACGAGCACCACCAAGACGGAGCUACGGCUACAACAACCACUUCGGCAUCUUCGCCAAGUGCUAUGAAGGCAUUUUCGCCUUUGGACGUUCGGCAUCUUCGCCUACUUCCCACAAGUACGCAUACAACGACUUCAUCAAGUCCAAGGCGACCACCUACGAGCGAGGGCGACACUUCCAUCUUCGGAAGCCCCUCAAGGAAGAUGGCCGAGCAUGGGAAAUUCCCUUCGGUCAUGGAGACGAGCUACGAGGUGCCACAUCAUAUGGGCCUCCAACAACAAGACGGCGACAAGAAGGUUGAGCAUGGGACUAUCCCUUCAACCAAGGCCGCGAUAGGAGUUGAGCAUGGAGACAUUUGCACCAAAAUCUCUCCGACACCCACAUAUCAUGAGAUGACCCAAUUGCCAUGUGAGGAGAGCCACCCCACCAUGAGUGAUAUGAGUGACUCCACCAUAUGUGACAUUGAGCGCAUUUCCUAUGAGAGGAUGAGUGUGACCACCACUAGCCCCACACUUGAGAGCAUGCCACACAUCUUAUGUGAGGUUGAGCGCCAUUUGAGUGACUCCACCAACAAUAUGAGUGAGAGCAUCUUUGAGGGAGUGAGUGACCCACAACACUUAGUGAGUGAGGUAGUUGACACGGCAUGUGAGGCCACUAUGAUUUCUAACGAUUUACCCUCUACUCCGAGUGUGUUUUCUUCUUUGGUGCUAGGUCUCCUACAUGACGACACGCCUAUCCUCGACGAGUCCAUACCUCCAAUGGGAAAACCGAUGGCCAUGGUGGACGAUGAUGAACCCCCCACAUGGUACCAUCAAGUUGCAACCUCACCUACAACACAUGAGCUACGCUCCAAAGGUAACAUAGGUGAUAGUGCUUCUCUUGUCCCACUAGUGGACUAUUUUCCCAAUGAUUGCUUGCAUGAUGUUGAUCCACCUAUUCCCAUGCUUCAUGCUAGUGCGACUUCUUCAUGUCAUGACUUACCAAUUUAUGAUGAAUAUGAUGAUGAGCGUGUUGAGUUGCCUAGUUGUGAUGCUAUGCUCCAUAGGAUAUCAUGUGAAAAUUCUAUUGGUCACUGCAUGUUUGACAAUUCAUUGAACUUGUCAUAUGCUAUGAGUGAGAUCUCUCAUAUUGCUUCAUUUCAAUCUCAACAUAGUAACUAUGCAUGCCCCAUUAAGAUAAAUCCCAUUUGCACUUAUGGCAUAGAUGACGAGAUGAUGGUCAUUGGCUUUUGUUUUUCGUGUGAUGAUAUUGCUAGGCUUCCUUUACAUGAUUUGUGCAAUUCAUCUAAUAUACCAUGCCAUGAUCACAUUGUUCCAAAUAUGCUUUGUUUUGGAUGUUGUCAAUAUUCUCCAUGUGAUGUUUCUACAAAUGCUCAUGAGGAGACCCCCAUAGUUUCCUCAUACAUAUUAGGAGAUUUUGAUGCAUUCCAUACUUUGCAUGAUUCCCAUAAUUGCUUGCACCGUAUGCAUACCAUGAAUAACAAUGCUCUACAUAUUUCCCAUGAUGCAUUACAUAAUUUGUGUCUCCAUUAUGCUAUACAUAAUAACAAACCUAUCAUGAUGGAUGACAUGUUUCUAUAUCACACAUCUCAUUUAUUUGAGCAUUGGCUAUUUUGUGCUAACCAACACUUGCACGUAUGCAUCAUAAUGGAUGAUGUGUACAUCUACCACGCACACACAAUUUUUCCUUUGCCUUUGUUUUGUGUAGGUACUCAUGUAUACUCGUCAACCUCUCAAUCCCAAGAGUUGACGAAACAAGCUCUUGAGAGCAACGACGAUUUGGGAUCCCGUGGACUAUCGUUACCACCAUUCCAUUUGCGCAAGGACUACGCGCAUCUCUUCUACUUGGAUCUCACACGGCUUUGGGCUAUUUAUCACUUGUUACCUUAUGCCCAUUCUAUCGUGUUCACUUUGCAUGUUACACCUCUUUCCAUGCCUUUGACAUGCAAUUGUGACCCUUGCUUGCACUUACAUAUGAUUCACCAUUAG
rnacentral:rRNA from 1 species